rnacentral:tRNA from 1 species
UUUCCUGUAAGAUAAAAGUAAAUCUAUUGUCUUUAGGAGACAGAUAUGUCUCAGUGACCAGGGAGU